rnacentral:misc_RNA from 1 species
UUCCGACCUCCGAUGACUUCAAUGUCACUUCAUCCACCAAAACUUUCCCUUUGAAGAUGAGUUUUUGGCCGCGAGAGAGGACAUUUGUGAGUGGUUGAAGGAGAGACUUGAGGUGUUUGACAGUGGACUCGUCGGAGAUUUCCACCGGUAUCGAUCGACCGCUGAACCUAACAUUCACUGUGAUAGUACGAUUACCGGCAUCGCUUUUUCCCUCUUUCUCCAUUUCUCUUUACUCGCCGCCGAUGUCUG